rnacentral:lncRNA from 1 species
CAAAAAUGUGUGUUUGAAAAUUAAGUUGCAUGUGUGAGGAAGAAGAGAUGACAAAACUGAUUGGAAGAAAUGAAACUGAGUUUUUGUUUUCCCGGGAAACUGCAGCCUGACCUCUGGUUACUGAAAUAUUUCCUCUGACUUCAUAUCUUUUCCUUUAUAGAUAUAUCAAAUGUUAGAUACCUCCAGUAAAGUACAUUCCCUUGUAAUUACUGAAUUACCAAAAUGCAAAAGGUUAUGAAGGAUGUGAGGUGCAUUUCAGAAUUAGUCAGCUGUCUUCUUGGUUAACUUUUAUAAUUUUUUUCCCAUAUAUUGACUGACUUCCUCCAUGACAGUAUUUUAAACUGUUAAAAAAGAAGAGGAAGAGGAAGAGGAAGAGGAAGAGGAAGAGGAAGAGGAAGAGGAAGAGGAAGAGGAAGAGGAAGAGGAAGAGGAAGAGGAAGAGGAAGAGGAAUCAUUUCAGGUAGAUAGGGAGAAGGAAAACUGAAGUCCAGUAGUCUCACUUUAACAAUAUACCCCGAUUGCUCCUUUAAGCCAAGAGAACACUUAUGUGCACAACUGAAUCCCUCAGAUGCUCUCCCACAAUGGACGGCCCUUAGACAAAACACUGGGGAUGCAGCACAACUGGGAGGAAAAACACUCACCCUUCCCGCAGAGCUCAUCAAGACCGAGGAAAAGUGCAACACUUGGGUGCGGCGGCAGAGCAUGCCCAUUGGCAGACUUCUCCAUGCAGUUGCCCUCGAGUGCUGUUGUAGAAAUUGCUACAGCUGAGCUUUUCCAUGCCUGGGGCCACGGUGACAUCCACUUGUGAGAGAUUCCUGGAAACGAAGCUUAAGUCCCUACUUGCUUAAAUAAACAAGCAAACCAACCAUUUCA